GCUGUAGUCGCGGAGCUGUGUCUGUUCCCCGGAGUCCGUCGGCGGCUGUUGUGUCGGGAGCCUGAUCGCGAUGGGGACAAAGGCGCAAGUCGAGAGGAAACUGUUGUGCCUCUUCAUAUUGGCGAUCCUGUUGUGGUCCUGACUUGAAGCUACAAAUAAAAGGAUAUUUCAUGAAUUUGACUUUGAAAACAUGGAUGAGAAUAAUUGUGCUCCCUGGCAUUGGGCAGUGUUACAGUGCACUCUUCUGAACCUGAAGUCAGAAUUCCUGAGAAUAAUCCUGUGAAGUUGUCCUGUGCCUACUCGGGCUUUUCUUCUCCCCGUGUGGAGUGGAAGUUUGACCAAGGAGACACCACCAGACUCGUUUGCUAUAAUAACAAGAUCACAGCUUCCUAUGAGGACCGGGUGACCUUCUUGCCAACUGGUAUCACCUUCAAGUCCGUGACACGGGAAGACACUGGGACAUACACUUGUAUGGUCUCUGAGGAAGGCGGCAACAGCUAUGGGGAGGUCAAGGUCAAGCUCAUCGUGCUUGUGCCUCCAUCCAAGCCUACAGUUAACAUCCCCUCCUCUG
rnacentral:sRNA from 1 species